CCUACGUGUGGCAGCAGUGAGGAAUAUUGGUCAAUGGGCGCGAGCCUGAACCAGCCAAGUAGCGUGAAGGAUGACUGCCCUACGGGUUGUAAACUUCUUUUAUAAAGGAAUAAAGUGAGGCACGUGUGCCUUUUUGUAUGUACUUUAUGAAUAAGGAUCGGCUAACUCCGUGCCAGCAGCCGCGGUAAUACGGAGGAUCCGAGCGUUAUACGGUUUUAUUGGGUUUAAAGGGAGCGUAGAUGGGUUGUUAAGUCCUUUGUGAAAGUUUGCGGCUCAACCGUAAAAUUGCAAUUGAUACUGGCAGUCUUGAGUACAGUUGAGGUAGGAGGAAUUCGUGGUGUAGCGGUGAAAUGCUUAGAUAGCACGAAGAACUCCGAUUGCGAAGGCAGCUUACUAAACUGCCACUGACAUUGAUGCUCGAAAGUGUGGGUAUCAAACAGGAUUAGAUACCCCAGUAGUC
rnacentral:rRNA from 1 species